rfam:Dipodomys ordii contig_9799, whole genome shotgun sequence.
GGAUGUGAGGGCGAUCUGGCUGCGACAUCUGUCACCCCAUUGAUUGUCAGGGUUGAUUCGGCUGAUCUGGCUGGCUAGGUGGGUGUCCCCUUCCUCCUUCACUGCUCCAUGUGCAUCCCACCCAAAGCUGUGCGCUCGGUCGAAGAGGAUGACCAUCCCCGAUAGAGGAGGACCGGUCUUCGGUAAAAGGUAUAGGAGUAGCUGCGCUCCUCUGCUAGAACCUCCAAACAAGCUCUCAAGUUAGGAUAGCAAUGUAACUAUUUUUACACUGACCUUCUACCUCUUUCAAAUUCUGU